AGAAAAUAGAUACCCUGGUAGUCCACGCCGUAAACGAUGGAUGCUAGCUGUUAUAGGUAUCGACCCCUGUAGUAGCGAAAGCUAACGCGUUAAGCAUCCCGCCUGUGGAGUACGGUCGCAAGACUAAGACAUAAAGGAAUUGACGGGGACCCGCACAAGCGGUGGAGCGUGUUGUUUAAUUCGAUGGUAAACGAAGAACCUUACCCAGGUUUGACAUCCUUGGAAUUUCUCCGAAAGGAGAGAGUGCUUUAUUGAGCCAAGUGACAGGUGAUGCAUGGCCGUCGUCAGCUCGUGUCGUGAGAUGUUUGGUUAAGUCCAUCAACGAGCGCAACCCUUGUGAUUAGUUGAAUUUUUCUAAUCAGACUGCCCUGGUAACAGGGAGGAAGGAGGGGAUGAUGUCAGGUCAGUAUUUCCCUUACAUCUGGGGCUACAAACACGCUACAAUGGCCGGUACAAAGGGCAGCCAAGUCGCGAGACGGAGCAAAUCCCAUCAAAGCCGGUCUCAGUUCGGAUUGCAGGCUGAAACUCG
rnacentral:rRNA from 1 species